rnacentral:rRNA from 1 species
UAAUGGCCCACCAAGGCGAUUACAGGUACGGGCUCUGAGAGGAGAAGCCCGGAGAUGGGUACUGAGACAAGGACCCAGGCCCUAUGGGGCGCAGCAGGCGAGAAAACUUUGCAAUGUGCGAAAGCACGACAAGGUUAAUCCGAGUGAUUUCUGCUAAAGAAAUCUUUUGCAAGUCAUAAAACCACUAGUGAAUAAGGGGUGGGCAAGUUCUGGUGUCAGCCGCCGCGGUAAAACCAGCACCUCAAGUGGUCAGGAGGAUUAUUGGGCCUAAAGCAUCCGUAGCCGGCUCUGUAAGUUUUCGGUUAAAUCCAUGUGCUCAACGCAUGGGCUGCCGAAAAUACUGCAUAGCUAGGGAGUGGGAGAGGUAGACGGUACUCGGUAGGAAGGGGUAAAAUCCUUUGAUCUAUCGAUGACCACCUGUGGCGAAGGCGGUCUACCAGAACACGUUCGACGGUGAGGGAUGAAAGCUGGGGGAGCAAACCGGAUUAGAUACCCGGGUAGUCCCAGCUGUAAACGAUGCAGACUCGAUGAUGCAUUGGCAUAUAGUCAGUGCAGUGUCGCAGGGAAGCCGUUAAGUCUGCCGCCUGGGAAGUACGUACGCAAGUAUGAAACUUAAAGGAAUUGGCGGGGGAGCACCACAAGGGGUGAAGCCUGCGGUUCAAUUGGAUUCAACGCCGGGA